rnacentral:lncRNA from 1 species
GCCGAACUGAAUCUAAUUCAAUUAAACUUAUUCCAAAGCUCUUUACUCAAUCAAAUUGAGUCAAUUAGUAAUCUAAUUACUAAUUAAUUCUCCAUAAAUGGUAGAGUUUCAAUCUCAGUGGGACUCUCCCACAGAGCCCUAGUCCAAGUGGGACUCUUCACCAGAGUAACAAUCCAAUUGGACUCUUCAGCCAUCAGAUCUGAUCAAAUCUUCUAAUAUGUAUGACCACAUAGGUUCGAACCUAAGUUGAUAGCAUAAAAAUAACUUUUAUACCAAUCGAUAUAACCAUCUAACAAUGAUGACCAG